rnacentral:rRNA from 1 species
CAGUAGCCGCGGGAACACGUAAGGUGCGAGCGUUGUUCGGGAUUAUUGGGCGUAAAGGGCAUGCAGGCGGUCGUGCAAGCCCGGCGUGAAAGGUGGGGGCUCAACUCCCAAACUGCGCUGGGAACUGCAAGGCUUGAGUUUCUGAAGGGCAGCCGGAGUUCCACGUGUAGGGGUGAAAUCUGUAGAUAUGUGGAAGAACACCAAUGGCGAAGGCAGGCUACCGGCAGAAGACUGACGCUGAGGUGCGAAGGUGCGGGGAGCAAACAGGAUUAGAUACCCCGGUAGUCCCUGUCUCUUAUAA